GACGAACGCUGGCGGCGUGCCUAACACAUGCAAGUCGAACGGAGAUACGAUUUCGGUUGUAUCUUAGUGGCGAACGGGUGAGUAACGCGUGAGCAACCUGACUCUUAGAGGGGGAUAACACUGGGAAACGAGUGCUAAUACCGCAUAAGACCACGACAUGGCAUCAUGACGAGGUCAAAGGAGCAAUCCGCUGAGAGGGGCUCGCGUCCCAUUAGAUAGAUGGCGGGGUAACGGCCCACCAUGUCAACGAUGGGUAGCCGAGCUGAGAGGCUGAUCGGCCACACUGGAACUGAGACACGGUCCAGACUCCUACGGGAGGCAGCAGUGGGGAAUAUUGGGCAAUGGGCGCAAGCCUGACCCAGCAACGCCGCGUGAGGGAAGAAGGCUUUCGGGUUGUAAACCUCUGUCCUUGGUGACGAAAAAAAUGACGGUAGCCAAGGAGGAAGCCCCGGCUAACUACGUGCCAGCAGCAGCCGCCG
rnacentral:rRNA from 1 species